UGAAACACCCACUUCUCCCUCACCCUUUCCCCCUCUUUCUCGUCUCUUUCUUCAUCUCUCCCUUUUCCCCUAUAAACCCUACCACAACCGCUCCUUUCACCACAUUUUUCAUGUUCUUUCUUCAACAAUAUCAGCUUCUUCUUUCACCACCUUCUUCAAUGUCAUCCUUCUUCUCUCUUUCGAUUUCUGCUUCCUAGCCAUGACUCUAAACUUUUCUUUUCAGGAUUCUAAGCUUUUCCUCUCAAACCCUAAGCACCGUGAGUCACCUUAUCUCUCAAUUUCUAUGCCUCUCAAUCAAAAACCCUUUCCUCUCAAUCUCUCCGCUCCACUCUCAUAUCUAAUCUCUCACAAAUCUCAACCAAAGAUGAACUCUCGUCUCUUCAUUCUUGCAAAAAUAUUUCGUUUUAGGAUUUCCUCUCUCAAAGGGUUUCUGCUGGGUCUCUUGACAGUUGUUAUAAGCAAUCAAUCAUGAUAGAAAGGGUAGUGACAAAACAACGUGACUGGAAAUCAACUACUUAGAGUCUCUUCAUCAUCAAGAGCUAAAGCUAAAGAAGCAACUAUCAAGCAAUCAGGAUAAGUUUUUUUAUAUAUUUUUUUGUUUCACUAUUUUGGUUUAAAUUUGACAUUUUCUUUUUAGUAAUCAGGAUAAGGUUUUUUUUUAUAUAAUUUUGUUUAACUUUGUUUGUUGGAAGUAUGCUGCAAGUAUUUAGAAUGUUAAAUAAAUUUAUUUGAAUUGUGGCCUUAUUAUUUGUGUAUCUGCAUUAUUAAUCUAAUGAACCUUUUCUUUUACUUGGUUUGUCAGUGGAAUCACACUUACAAAAUAUUGUUGGAGUUUUGGUCCUUUGCUUCUCAACAUCAAAUUUUUUUGUGGUGUAUUACUUUCAAAUGUAUCUGGCCUUAGUUAUCAUUGGUUUCUUGCAUGGUCUGGUGUUUUUACAUCUAGAUAGUCCAAUUGCUACCAUCUACAUGUAUACAUAUUGCGGUCACUACAUUCUUGGUUCCAAUGCAAGUUUGCUAGCCGACUGAAAAGAGAGGAAGUGUCCCUUCAACUUGUCCCAGCAAUGUACAACAGCAAGUGAAAUUUCUUGAUUAACUAGACAGUUGUGGAGUUGGUGUGGUUUCUGUAAAGGUGCGAGAUGCUCAAAGAUUCAGGCGUCGGUUUUAUCCCAUCGGUUGUGAGUUUGGCAAGGCAGCUUUUUAGUGCUCUGUAACGUUUGUCGACACCUCGAAUAUUAUGCUUUCAAUUAGGGAGUUCUCUUAGAUAUAUAGUUUCUCUCGGCAUGUGUUUGUUUUCUUCCUGUUAAUAAUUUUAUUAGGAUAUAUUUUUUAUGGUUUUAGGAGUUUGAACGGGUGUAAUUUUGGCAUCCGAUAUGCCUUGACAUGUAUGCUGUACUGUUUGUUAUUGACAUCCCUUAUGCCAAGCUUUAUGCUAAUGAUAUUUGCCCUUUCAAAAAAAAACUAGACAGCUGCCUUUAUGCAUAUUCACUUGGUGGGAAGUAGCUCAUUAGAUGUUUUAUAGUAUGUAGUUCUACUUAAUAGUGCAGACACUGUCGGGGUGUUUGUAGAAUAUUUUUUUAUCUACAGUAUUGGAGGUUUGUGCGGAAUCAUCAAAUUGACAAUGUUCAAUUGGAUAUGGAUCUCGAUGCUGCAUUUUAAUAUCGUUCAAACCGAGGAUCGUGCAAAAAUUUGCA